UGGGGAAUAUUGCACAAUGGGCGAAAGCCUGAUGCAGCAACGCCGCGUGAGUGAUGAAGGUCUUCGGAUUGUAAAGCUCUGUCUUUUGGGACGAUAAUGACGGUACCAAAGGAGGAAGCCACGGCUAACUACGUGCCAGCAGCCGCGGUAAUACGUAGGUGGCGAGCGUUGUCCGGAUUUACUGGGCGUAAAGGGUGCGUAGGCGGAUGUUUAAGUGAGAUGUGAAAUACCCGGGCUUAACUUGGGUGCUGCAUUUCAAACUGGAUAUCUAGAGUGCAGGAGAGGAGAAUGGAAUUCCUAGUGUAGCGGUGAAAUGCGUAGAGAUUAGGAAGAACACCAGUGGCGAAGGCGAUUCUCUGGACUGUAACUGACGCUGAGGCACGAAAGCGUGGGUAGCAAACAGGAUUAGAUACCCUGGUAGUCCACGCCGUAAACGAUGAGUACUAGGUGUAGGGGGUAUCGACCCCUUCUGUGCCGCAGUAAACACAUUAAGUACUCCGCCUGGGGAAGUACGAUCGCAA
rnacentral:rRNA from 1 species